rnacentral:lncRNA from 1 species
AACAUGUGCUUUCGUUCAUUCACAAACACACUGGAAAAAUCCAUAGAAGAAUACUAGAAGAGCAUUUCAAUCACGCUGAACAUCUGCCGGAGAAACUCCAUUAGAAGCCCCUGCAACUUUGCUCUAUAAAAUGGCCAAAUAACAAUUUUAUCACAGAUUCUCUAGAGUUCCUCUCUACCCAAACACUCCAUAUGAUGGCAAAUGAUGCAUAAGUUGAUAAUUCACGUUUAAACAACUACUUAAGGUGAUGAUACAAUCAGAUACCUGUUCGUGUAGAGGCUAGAGCUUCUUUAAACAGAGACAAAAGCACCACUCUACUUCAAGUGAUCUAAGUUUCCCAAUGCUUUGUUUCGAAAGAUUCUCUUCGUCCUCUAGUUCCUUCCCUUCAUCCUCUAGUUCCUUGGUCUGGCCGCUCUAGUGGAUCGUGAAUCUCGUUUUGUAAUUUUGACGGAGCGUGAACAUUUUUUGCUGAACUCCAAGGGUGGAGGAGCAUCUUCUCCAAGAAUUUCCCAAUUCUUGUAUAAGUUACCUGGUGAUUGUGCAAACACAAGUUUAAUAAUCCUAAUCAUCGAUCCAACUUUCUUAAAAGACACUACACCAUUAAGCACAUCAAUGGCAUCUUAUACCUCUGUCAAUGCUCAACUAACAUCUUAC